GGGGUUGUACCGGUUUCGACGGGGACUUUGAAGGUCGGAUAGCCAUCCGCGGACCGUGACCGCGUAUCAAAACGGAUCUAAACAUAAACGCAGACAACAAUAGAGUUGCCUUAGCUGCUUAAGCAGCUAUGUCGCCCGCAGGGCGCUCACUCCCGGCGCAAGCGGCAUCAUGAAAAGUGAGAAACGGUCGGCCUUAAGCUUUGCGGGCCGAUACGCAGCCAUGAAGCUACUGAAACGAUAAGCCUGCUGUCCGGCGGAUCGCGGAGGGAAUGUCAAAAGAUCAGCUAUGAUGGAAGAAGUCCGGUUGGACAGGUUUUCGGACAGGGGUUCGACUCCCCUCAGCUCCA
rnacentral:tmRNA from 1 species